UAAUCAAAGGAACGUGUUAGCCCCUGAUGCCGUUAUAAGCAACCAAGCUCAAAGAAUCAUACUCUAUAAUCUUAUUGACGCACUGAUAUAUCAUUUUUCGGCAAAGUUUAGUAGCCUAGUGAAUAAAUACGGGGAAUAUCGAACGUUUAACGAGGUGGAAGCCCUGAAACUACGAAAUGAGUAUUGGUUGGAUAGAUGCGUAAUCAACCAUACGUAUAGCUACUCCGAAACCGAAUUUGUUCUGCCAAAAGGAGAGUUAAGGCAGGCAUAAAAAAAGCAGCCUCUUCCAAGGAAUAUGUUCAUCGACUUCGUGGAAAAAACAGCCAAUCCAAUGCCGUUGAUCGUCGCACACGAGACUGACGACCAAAUGCCACGACCUUCGUGCUGGAGAUACAUUUUAGUGAUAUUAUUUAUAUAUUUACAUCUCUCAGAUGUUCGUUCUAUGGAAGCGUUGAUAAUGCCGUUUAAAUUAUACCUGACGUAUAAUUUGUUUUAUUGAGGGUUCGGUAUGAACGAUCUGCAGGGAUGAAUACGGCAUUACUAUAUUCAUCGCAUCUCUCAUUAAACCGUGAGGAACGUUCUUUCAGCUUCGGCACUUAGCUUCGAUCUAGUACCGUGGCUCCCAGAAGAGGAACAAUGCUUUAAAUGCCUACAAUAUUCAGCUGGUGUAAAGGAUGAGAGACCAAAGCAACGUUCCCAUAAAAUGUCAAAGCCUAGUUAUGUUGUCCAAGGCCAAAUGUGGAGCAUUUUGUUAGAUGUUACCUCAUGCUUCGCUGACCUUGAUUAUUUAGGGUAAUUCAUAUGCGUAUAUUGACGUAUUGCAAUUACUAGCUUGUUGGCAUUUUUAGUGUUUUAUUGUUAGAAUGUUUCGUCUGUUCUGGAGGGCUGGCUUUUCUUUACCUUACAGCCCUGACUAAAUAAAAAUUUAAUUUGGAGAACGUUGCUUGCACUCCAAACAUGAGUUAUAUCGGGUGGCAAAAGAUUUUUUUUUAAGAUAUAUUCUUGUAUUUUCUAUUAGCGUUAAAUAUGCUGCUCGAGCGAUCCGAGCUGGGUUUGUCAUGUACCCACGACUAUAUACGAUAGUGUUAAUAAUUUGACUUAGGAAGGUCGUUAAGGAUCGCUUGGAACAUUUUUCGAAUUAAAAUCGUUGUGAGUUUUCGGCGUCCUUUGAGCAACUCGCUGGCAUCGGCAAAAAUUCACUGUCUGAAAUUCAUUCCUUUUGUACCCGACAAAUACAUAUUUUUGAAGCUCGAACACUGUUUCACGAGCUAAACAAUAAUCAAAAUCAACGGUUUUUUUUUAUGAGUGAAGUAACUUGCUAACGGAAUCAUCAAGAUAUGAGUACAAUCUAGUAAGAGAAACUAUAGACAGUAAUUGACUAAACCUAUACAACAAACAAAAGGUGUAUGGAAUAACUAUGUUAGCUCCGUUCAAAAUCAGUUUCGUAACUGAGGUCAGCGUCGUCUCAAGGUUAUCCAGCCCAGCAGAGCACUUUCAGGUUACUCUAAUAUCGCUGCGUCGUUCUUCCAUAACGAGUGAACGACCAGCGACUUCUCGAAAGUGAUAGUGGGUAAGGUACAAUAUUCCCAGCAAUAAAUCUCGUGUUUCAGCUGAAAUCGAUAAUCGUGUAUUCUGUUGUUGCGGUUCAGCGCAUUCUGACAGUUUUGUGCAGGAAGUCGCUAGUGCCAGUUGACUCAUGUGGAGGCAAAAUUACCACAGAGAAAGCCAAAGCUUUGGUCGAUACGAGGCAGCAAUAAAGCUUCGCUUUUGGAUUACCGCAGUAUGCCGCAAUAAUGAUGGUUUUUCAACUGCCGUCAGAAUUAUGAUAAAGUAACUUACAAACCUUGAACUAUUAGGAGUAUACUGGAGCGGUCAUUGUAGGCCCAGCGGGGAGUCCAUUGAUUAGCAGCUGCCGAAAGGUGCAAUCUCACGCAAAGUCGAAUCACACUUAUCCGCUAUAAACACUCUGGGGCAAUAAUGGACCUUAGAAACUAAUCCUACAACCGCAAGAAUAACGUGGAAAACUCAAACAAAUUUCAAAGGAACAAUCUGCGUGAGAAUCUUAAAACCA